rnacentral:lncRNA from 1 species
UGAUUUCAAAAGAAUAUUUUGAUUAUAUUUCUUAUUUAAAAGUAAUUGAAGAUGUACAUGGUGGUUAAUCCAACCUUAAUUUUUUAACGCAACAAGGAUAAAACUUGAAACUAACAUAGACUUAAUUAACUAAAUUGUCCCUUGUCCCCAUUUCUUAAACUCCUCACACGCUACUUGCUCCAUUCUCCCCGUGGCCAUGCAACCAUGCCUACCUGUGACCAUGAAAAUCAAUCAAUCAUUAAAAUUCAUGAUCUGACUAUACAAUUCACAAGAUAAAUGAAAUCCAUGUCAACUAAAAUAUAAUUAAAAACACGUCGUUUGUGCUCUGUAGCAGGGAUACAUUAUCAUACGAGCCAGGUUAGAGUACUCGUACCAUGAAUAAAGAAGGCACACAACAUCUGGCAUUAUCACAAAAUCAUACUUGCACACAUUACCACCAGUAGCAAGAUAAACGAGGUGGAUAUCAGCUUUUAAAGCAUGAUUAGGAAUCAAGGCAAACUCUAUUUUCAGGGUUAGAAAGAAAAAGACCAAGUGCAAGAAUUGGAACAGAUAAGAAGCUUACCAGGGCAUGAUGCCAUUGGGUUGGAUGUCAUGCACGGGCCAAUAGAGCUCCCUCCCUAUCUCUUACGAAGCUCUCCCUACGACCCACUUCAGAGCAGCCGGUCGUGCUUUUUUCCAACCCAACUUCUGCAUCGCCGCAGAUCAGCGAAAGGAGCUGCUGCCGGCAGCCAAGCUCACCUUCCGCACUGCUACAGAUCAGCUAGCAUGUCGAGUUUACAUGAUCCGAGAGAGACUCAGUCGAGCAACAUAAAUGAAAAAGGAAAAGUACCAACGUUUUGAGAAAAUGAAUUCAGUUAGUCAUACAAGAAUAUGUUCAGAAGAUAAAAAUCAUUUAGACACACCUCACGCAAAUUUUCUCAAAGAAAUUCUUCAUGACAUCUUCCGGAACCUACCUGUUCAGAAAAACAAAGUAAGAGAGCAGACAUAUGCAGCACAAUUACCAUCUAGGAACUUGUGGUGUGAAACCAUCAAAGUACAAAAAAGAUAUAUGAAUAUACUGUUUCCUUAUUUAUUUAAUUUUAUUCCAGAUUACAGUUGAAAUGUUUAUAAAGUACAUAUUCUUGGGUAGCAUUUCUUUCUCAUCUUGUCUGCACAAUAAACAGAUUAAGGCUUAAUAUUAUUACUGAGCUCAGAGAUCGAUCAACAAGUCAUAUGCUCUAAUUUAGAAAAGAACUAUGUGCAUUUACUUACUGGAGGAAGAAACCAAGGUCAAAAGGCAAAAUGGCAGUCUUCAUAUCAUGCGUCAAGCAUAACUACAUUGCCUUAUGAACUGAAGUAAAAAUUAGAAUUAUCAAGCAACAGUACUAACAACCAACAGUGACGAGACUUGCUCUUGCACAAAUGUUUAUCCCAACAAAGGAUCGCGAACACGCUAGAUACACUAACUGAGGCUCAUUCCCUUUGCUUGAGGCACUGUCUUAGGAACAACUUCAGAGUAGGUCGAUUAAAACUUAGAAGAAACGGAGAUACACAUGUUAACUAAUAGACUGGCAUUUGUCACUUUGUGAUUGAAAUUAACUAUGAAUAAGGACUCUGGAAGAUGAACAUACAGUUGUGUGGUCGAAGUGCGAGGAACAUUGUUGCUGGCAGAAGAGCAAUCAUGAAAAUCAGCGCAAAUAUGCUUAGGGUGAUUUCGAUGGGCACUCACUUGCUACAGCGGGCGCGCCAUUUAGCUGCCACAAUAUUGAAUUUGCUAUUUUUUCUCAAAAUAGAACUUUGCGAAUAGUACGACACUAUAGAAUCAACUAAAGCUCAACAACAUUAUUGAUGCAUGUACAUCUAUUAAUUAGACCAAUAAUGCUUCCACAAAGAAUAAUUAAUCUUUACAACCCUUUCACUUGUGGUCAUUUUACCAGGAUAAUAGUAAUUCUAAAACAUACAAAUACAAGUUUUAUCUACAAAAUUAAUUAACUAAAUGAUUCAAACAAGCACUGGUAUUCCCAAUUACAUUAAUCUCAUGGAAAAUGGUACAAGGAAAACUUUAGAUAAUUAGAUACGGCAAAGGAACUUUCAAUGAAGUUGUAGGAAAAAUAAGCUACUGCAGUUAAUUUGAACAUCAGUGAAUCAACUGUAGGCAUACUGGCUCCAUCCUUUUAAUUCCUUUUAAUUCACAGUAAAGCUUGCAAUACUGAGGAAAAAAAAGCAAGUAAUCAACCACCUUAAUUUGUUAGUACGACAUCAAUCCGGCGCUUAGAAGCUUGCAUACUGUGAUAAAAAAAAUCAGAGAGCAUGCCGUAGGUACAAGAAGCAAGCAAAUAGCCAGCUUAAUUAAUUAGUAGGACCUCGAUUGCUUAGACUAAUUCAAUUGCAGCGGGAAGACACAAGACCAACCCACAUGAUUAACUAACUGUAUUACAUGCUCAGAGUCAAAUUAGAGAGAUGGCACGUCUUGGGAUGAAAUCUAGUUGCUGAACAAAAAUUAUGGUGACAUUCUGCCAUGCCCAGAGUCGUAAUUCAUAGGUAGGUGGCGAUCUAAACAGGAAGAAAAAGACCAUGACAUUUUUUGUACCAGUGCAAUAACACCGCAUAAGCAAGUUUUCAUGAAAUUGCAACACGAACUGACCCUUUUUUUUCAAACACGCCUAUCGUUGGGUUUGCAGAAACACCAGGUCCCUAGAAAGCAAGCUUGCUACAGUAUGGUCUCUCUAAAUGUUCAGCUCCGGCUGCUACGGAAGUAUGCUUCAAGGCAACAAGAGAGUGAUGGAUUUAUGUGGAGGGCAUCAAAAAUAUGGAGUAGAACUUGUAUUACCCUAAGAACCAGCAUUGGGGCAGAGAAAUUAAACCUUAGAUCCAGCAAGGAAGCUUUAGUAUUUAGAUCACAUGAUCGGAAUAUGCAUUUGGCCUCCUCCUGGGGCGUAGGAUGUGCAGCUUCAGCAAGUAGUGUAUUUCCAGGUACCUUCAAGUGGUGUUUAGCUAGCAAAAAAAAUCAGAGAAUAUUAAUUUUCAAAACCAGAUAAACUGUGUAACAAUCAGUCAAAGAACGGUGGUUUCCGCUAGUUCCAGAAAAGAAGAGGACAAGUUCCAGAUGAUUUGAUAUGUUGUGCUUGGUCAAUAUAAUUUUAGUAAAUAUCACACCAUAUACCUUCAGAGUUCUGGUUGCCAAGCAUCUUUAGAUGCCCAACCUUCAGUCAAGAUGGCAAUGGCAUCAUCUUCUCUCACCUACAGGCCACAGUCCUCUUCUACUCUUGUUCCUCCUGGCCUACUCGUGCAGCGCAUCGCCCAGCGGUCAACCCUCCUGUCCUGUAAAGUGAGUUGGCCCGGUGUUCCCAUA